UUUUGAGUUGCUAUGGCAGAAAAAAAGAAAAAAGAAAAAAAAAGGUCCUAACUGAUAGCCAUGCUGUUGCUGCUGCUACUGUGGCUCUCCUCUCUUUUCAAGAGCUGAUAUUUAGAUCAUAGUUUAUUGGGGGACCUUCACUUGACAGACCUGCCAGAGCAGACACUUCAUUAGUAUGUCUUUGAUAACUUAGAGGCACCUCCAUGACAUGAUCAUGCAUUGAGACAAGACUUUAUUGUAGAGAGAUAACACCUUCAAUAUAGGUAGAGCUACCUGCCCCUUCUACUGUGUCUCUGGAAUACCUACUCCACAGAAUGGCGAGGUGAGGGCAGGGGCAAGUUAUUCUGGCAGAAACUUCAACAGCAGCAAGGAAAUUGCUGAGUGGAUGUCAAAUUACCAGCCCAUGGACCAGGCGAUGCUGCACAGCCAAAGCAUCUGGGCUCAUAGAUGCUGAAAUCCUUCAGGUAAUCCAUACACACUACAAAGUAAUCCUGGAGCUCAGCAGCUGUGGUGUUCUGGAGAGGAAAAAUCGCUAUGUCAGACAAAUCUUAGCUCACAUCUGAGUGUGGGUUCACUAGGCAUGGAUCACUACUCCACCUAAACUGAAUGACCUAUUUGGGUUCAAGUAGCACAGAAAUAGAGAAGUGCAAAUGUGGAAAGAAUCUCAGGGCCACUCAAGUCUGAACCAUCCUUGAAGUCUCCUCUGCAGUUUAAUUGGCCAUUACUCUCCACCACAACAUGCUGUCUCCACAUCUUACAUCCCAAGCUACUGAAAGAACUGGCGCAUGUAAUUGCUAUACCAUGGUCUAUGAUCUUUAAGAAAUCCUGGUAAAUAGGAGAAGUACUGUGAGAUUGGAGGCAAGCAAACAUUGUGCUGAUUUUCAAAAACAGGAAGAAUGUGACUACUUCAAAUUAUAGGCUGGAUAGCAAGCUGUGGACAAACCGAGGAGCUGGCUCCUCCAUAAAUUGGCUUCUCUCCAGUCUUUCUCUUCCUUCAAGAACCUGAAAAUCAUCUGAAGUUCCCUGUCUUCCUUCUCAAUGCUAGAAGCCAGAAGACCAGGAUCUCUUUUCUUCUAAGAUCUUGCCAGUUUCAGUACCUUUUGCACGCAUGAGUAUUGGGUAAUAAAUUUCCAUCAUUGAA